rnacentral:rRNA from 1 species
UACAGAGGUCUCAAGCGUUGUUCGGAUUCAUUGGGCGUAAAGGGUGCGUAGGUGGCGCCGUAAGUCAGGUGUGAAAUUUCGGAGCUUAACUCCGAAACUGCAUUUGAUACUGCGGUGCUUGAGGACUGGAGAGGGAGACUGGAAUUCAUGGUGUAGCAGUGAAAUGCGUAGAGAUCAUGAGGAAGACCAGUGGCGAAGGCGGGUCUCUGGACAGUUCCUGACACUGAGGCACGAAGGCCAGGGAGCAAACGGG